UACGGAGGGGGCUAGCGUUGUUCGGAAUUACUGGGCGUAAAGCGCACGUAGGCGGCGCGUCGAGUCAGGGGUGAAAGGCCUGGGCUUAACCUGGGAACUGCCCUUGAUACUGGCGUGCUUGAGUCCGAGAGGGGAUGGUGGAACUCCCAGUGUAGAGGUGAAAUUCGUAGAUAUUGGGAAGAACACCGGUGGCGAAGGCGACCAUCUGGCUCGGAACUGACGCUGAGGUGCGAAAGCGUGGGGAG
rnacentral:rRNA from 1 species